GAUGAACGCUGGCGGCGUGCCUAAUACAUGCAAGUCGAGCGAACGGACGAGAAGCUUGCUUCUCUGAUGUUAGCGGCGGACGGGUGAGUAACACGUGGAUAACCUACCUAUAAGACUGGGAUAACUUCGGGAAACCGGAGCUAAUACCGGAUAAUAUUUUGAACCGCAUGGUUCAAAAGUGAAAGACGGUCUUGCUGUCACUUAUAGAUGGAUCCGCGCUGCAUUAGCUAGUUGGUAAGGUAACGGCUUACCAAGGCAACGAUGCAUAGCCGACCGGAGAGGGGGAUCGGCCACACUGGAACGGAGACACGGUCCAGACUCCUACGGGAGGCAGCAGUAGGGAAUCUUCCGCAAUGGGCGAAAGCCUGACGGAGCAACGCCGCGUGAGUGAUGAAGGUCUUCGGAUCGUAAAACUCUGUUAUUAGGGAAGAACAUAUGUGUAAGUAACUGUGCACAUCUUGACGGUACCUAAUCAGAAAGCCACGGCUAACUACGUG
rnacentral:rRNA from 1 species